rnacentral:rRNA from 1 species
AUUGAACGCUGGCGGCAGGCCUAACACAUGCAAGUCGAGCGGAUGAAGGGAGCUUGCUCCUGGAUUCAGCGGCGGACGGGUGAGUAAUGCCUAGGAAUCUGCCUGGUAGUGGGGGAUAACGUCCGGAAACGGGCGCUAAUACCGCAUACGUCCUGAGGGAGAAAGUGGGGGAUCUUCGGACCUCACGCUAUUAGAUGAGACUAGGUCGGAUUAGCUAGUUGGUGGGGUAAAGGCCUACCAAGGCGACGAUCCGUAACUGGUCUGAGAGGGUGAUCAGUCACACUGGAACUGAGACACGGUCCAGACUCCUACGGGAGGCAGCAGUGGGGAAUAUUGGACAAUGGGCGAAAGCCUGAUCCAGCCAUGCCGCGUGUGUGAAGAAGGUCUUCGGAUUGUAAAGCACUUUAAGUUGGGAGGAAGGGCAGUAAGUUAAUACCUUGCUGUUUUGACGUUACCAACAGAAUAAGCACCGGCUAACUUCGUG